rnacentral:rRNA from 1 species
AACACAUGCAAGUCGAACGGAAAGGCCCUGCUUUUGUGGGGUGCUCGAGUGGCGAACGGGUGAGUAACACGUGAGUAACCUGCCCUUGACUUUGGGAUAACUUCAGGAAACUGGGGCUAAUACCGGAUAGGAGCUCCUGCUGCAUGGUGGGGGUUGGAAAGUUUCGGCGGUUGGGGAUGGACUCGCGGCUUAUCAGCUUGUUGGUGGGGUAGUGGCUUACCAAGGCUUUGACGGGUAGCCGGCCUGAGAGGGUGACCGGCCACAUUGGGACUGAGAUACGGCCCAGACUCCUACGGGAGGCAGCAGUGGGGAAUAUUGCACAAUGGGCGGAAGCCUGAUGCAGCAACGCCGCGUGCGGGAUGACGGCCUUCGGGUUGUAAACCGCUUUCGCCUGUGACGAAGCGUGAGUGACGGUAAUGGGUAAAGAAGCACCGGCUAACUACGUGCCAGCAGCCGCGGUGAUACGUAGGGUGCGAGCGUUGUCCGGAUUUAUUGGGCGUAAAGGGCUCGUAGGUGGUUGAUCGCGUCGGAAGUGUAAUCUUGGGGCUUAACCCUGAGCGUGC